AGGGUUCUUGGGUUUUCUGGGCUUGUGUUCAACGGCCAAAUUGGAGCUCUUCCAGGGCAAUGCCGCGAGCUACGGUUAAAUGAAGGAACUCGUUUGCGUGGUCGCCCAAUAGUACUUUUGCAGGCGAAAUUAGUUGAGGUCGGGCGUACAUGGAGUCGAGGCAUAGCCAACUGCAUUGCUUCCGCGUACUCAUUCUAUUUCUGUUUUCUUUGUUACCUAGUGGAUUAGUAUUGCUCUGAUAACCUAUGGGAUUAAUAUUGCUUUUGGGUUGAGACUGAUAUUUGUGAAAUUGGAGUUGUGAUUUGGGGAGCAGAUGGCUCCAGAAGAUUAAGGAUGGAUGAUUUAGAAGUGUAAAUGUUUUCCUACAGGUUUUGGGUAGCCUACUUUUAGGGGAAGUUCCGCCAAAUUUUUGGUAGAAUUUCUUCUAAAGUGGGUCCCGCAGGGCCACUUCGGA